rnacentral:rRNA from 1 species
AAAAACCUUACCCACCUUUGACAUGUACGGAAUUUGCCAGAGAUGGCUUAGUGCUCGAAAGAGAGCCGUAACACAGGUGCUGCAUGGCUGUCGUCAGCUCGUGUCGUGAGAUGUUGGGUUAAGUCCCGCAACGAGCGCAACCCUUGUCAUUAGUUGCUACGAAAGGGCACUCUAAUGAGACUGCCGGUGACAAACCGGAGGAAGGUGGGGAUGACGUCAAGUCCUCAUGGCCCUUAUAGGUGGGGCUACACACGUCAUACAAUGGCCGGUACAAAGGGUCGCAAACCCGCGAGGGGGAGCCAAUCCAUCAAAGCCGGUCGUAGUCCGGAUCGCAGUCUGCAACUCGACUGCGUGAAGUCGGAAUCGCUAGUAAUCGUGGAUCAGCAUGUCACGGUGAAUACGUUCCCGGGUCUUGUACACACCGCCUGUCACACCAUGGGAGCGGGUCUCGCCAGAAGUAGUUAGCCUAACCGCAAGGAGGGCGAUUACCACGGCGGGGUUCGUGACUGGGGUGAAGUCGUAACAAGGUAGCCGUAUCGGAAGGUGCGGCUGGAUCACCUCCUUUCUG